CUGCUCUUCAGGUUGCGGCAUCCUGGAAGUGUGCCUCCAGGAUGAAAGGCCAAUCCAAUGCUUCUCAUAGAAUACAAUGAUUAUCUAAGGCCUAUCGUGCGGGGCCUAUCAUUAUGGUAUGUGAGUUAGGAAGUAAGAUUCCCGGUUCUCAGACCCAAAGGGGUUGGAGGCGUGGCUUGAAGCUACGCUUCCAAGCCUUCUAAUAAGUGAACUAAGGGGUUUUGAGCGGUAGCAGCAGGGGACAGGACUACAGGCACCAUAACAACUUCAAUUAGUUGAAGUUAUUAAAGUGCCUACAGUGCAUCUUUAACACAACCUCCUCCUAACCCUAGCCAUACCUAAGUUAACAGUGCUGAAAUGCCACAGUGUUAUAAUUAAUGCAGUAAAAUCUAAGUGCCAAACUAACAUUAGAAUUUACAAUGUGCCAUUCAGAUGACAUUUUAAAUACAUUUAAAUACAUAACCAUUGGUAUUUAAAAUCAAUACUUGUGUCUGGAAAUGACGUUUCCAAAUCUACCAGUAAAAUGUCAAUUUAUAGUUCUAAAUCAGAGUUUGCAGGAAUCUAUGAUCUGCAAACUUUCUUUGUCUUAGGGAUGAGCAUAACCACCUAGCAAAGCUAGUGGGUAUGCGGCAGCCUCCCGGAGUCAAAUGCCAGAGCUGAAAAGGCUCGCGCUGUGCAUCUGCACAGCAACAGCCUUUCAGCCAAUCAGGUAAUCAGGAGAGCCGUGCUGAGCGCGGGAAUCCUGAUUACCUCAGAUUUUUUAAAAUUGGGAAACUGCGGAUGGUUAGCACAUCCCAUGAAAUACUAAGGAUAAAUAUUUCCCACAGUGUACAGGAAUAUAAUUAAACUUCUAAACACAAAAUAAAAUAAUUCAAGAUGCCAAUAGUACAGGGGAACAAGAAAAUAUUUAAUAAGUCAUGGAGACAUACAAGAUAGACUUGAAACUUUGUAUAAAACAGCUGAACUGAAAAACAAGGCAACAAUGUGUGCCAAAGGAAAGUAUCCAAAGACCACUGGAAACAUUCAACGUAAGUUGCAACAAAAUAAGUUCAAUAAAGAGACAAGAAAUGUUGAAACAAGUCCCAGCAGACAUAAUCUUUAUGCAGGGAGUCCAUGAGAAUAUUAAACCGACGAGACUACUUGCAUCCAAUCCUUCUACUUAGGUGGAUCCUUGGUUUGUUGGUCUUGUCUUGGAGUACGGCUAUAGUCUGUAAAAAACAAAACAGAGAACAGUUAUCAAAAGGUUGAAUAAGCACCAGAUAACCUUAUGUUUUAGAAAAACCAACUACCACCAGCAGGCAAAACCCUUAACUAGGAGGAGGGUGGGACGGGCGCUAUUGCUAGGUGGUUAUGCUCAUCCCUAAGACAAAGAAAGUUUGCAGAUCAUAGAUUCCUGCAAACUCUGAUUUGUCCUCCGGGAGGCAUAACCACCUAGCAAAGCUAGUGGGUAGAAUAGCACACACCUGGUGGUGGUCCUAAGAAACUGAAGGCGUUCAACUUCUGAUGGCCUCCAGUAAAAUCUAACAAAGGUUUUACUGGACAACCAUCUUGCAGCUUUUAAGAUAGUAGCUAGAGGAAGGCCCUUUCCUGCUGCUUUAGUAGCCGAGGCUCCCCUAAUUGAAUGGCUUUUGAACACUGAAACAUCAAUUCCAGCCGUAGACAUGGCGGAAAGUAUCCAGCCUCUAAUUGUAUUAACCUUGGCUGGACGAAAGGGAUUCCUUGAUGUAAUGAAUAAUUGACUGAUAUCGUUUCUAAAUCCAGCAGAAAGUUGAAGGUACGAUUGUAACAAACUGACUAAACAUAAGCCUGGUUCGGAAGAAUCUUGGACCAAGUCCAAUUCUACCGGACCAGGAGAAAAAUGGGAUGUUUUUUGUCUGCCUUUUAGUAUGAUAUGGAAACCUCCCGGGGUCCUGGACAACCAAGGUUCUGAAAUAUGGAUCUGAGUUAACUCUGCUCCUCUAGCUGCCAGGGCCAAGGACAGCAGAGAAGCCAGCUUAAUAGCAGUCCAUCUUAAAUCAAUUUUAGCAUUAUCCAAAGACUUUAGGAAAUUUAAUAAGACAUCUACAUCCCAAGUAGAUGUGUAGCGUGGGGUAUAUGGGCGGCAGACGGCUAACCCUUUUAGUAAUCUCAAAUACAGGGCAUCCUGAGUAAGGUUGGGGAUCAGGAAGUUUAAGGCAGAUCCGUAGGUCUUGAUUGAACUGACAGAUAAACCAGAAUGGAACUUAAGGGUAAGAAAUUCUAACGCCAAAGGAAUGGUAUCAGAUCCUUGUGUGUUAGACAGAAAAGAAACCUCCCAUUCUUUGAAUUCCUCGAUCAUCUUUCUAUAUCUUACCCUAGUUCUACGUCUUAAAGAUGAGUUAAUAAUAUCCAAGACCUGGUCCGAUAAGUGGGGAUGUGUUAACAGCCUACCAGGGCUGCGAUCCACAUCAGCUGCGGGAGCUUGAGCAGAAGAUCGCUGGUUCCCUGAAAGCAGUCCACUGUCAUGCCUAAUGGGAUCUUGGUUCCCUUGACUAACUGAUGGAUCAAGGGAUACCAGGGUCUGGAGGUCCAUACUGGGUAAACGAGAACUAAGCUCUGCACCCUGUCCCUGCGGAUCUUCUCCAGCACUUUCAUCAGUAAAGAUGGAGGGGGGAAAGCAUAAGGGGCUGGAACAUCCGUCCAUUGGAAAGACAUUGCAUCCAUUUUCCAAGCUCCCUUUGUCCAGGUCCGGGAGACGAACCUGGGAGUUUGAGCGGAUGUUUGGGAUGCAAACAGAUCUACCUGUCUCUGGCCAAAAUUGCUUUCUAUCUUUUGGAAAGAGCAAUCUUUAAUUGGAUCGUUGCCAGGGACAAACUUUGGCGAGAGAGAGAGUCUGCAAGCUCGUUCGCCUCUCCCGGAACAUAUUCUGCGAAAACCUGAACAUUGCUUGCUAAGGCCCAGGACCAAAGAUCUAGAGCCUCUAAGCAAAGACCCCUUGAUCUUGUACCCCCUCUGUGGUUUAUAUAAGCCACCGCUGUCCUGUUGUCCGAAUGGACUUUUACCAAUGUCGGUGACUCGUUUAGAGGAACUAGGCCCUUGAGAGCUAAUUUUAUAGCUCGUAACUCCAAGAUGUUUAUAUGGAGGUGACUCUCUUGGUCUGACCAGAUUCCUCUUAUGGCGUUUUGGGUUGUAAACGCACCCCAACCGUGACUUGAGGCAUCUGACGUCAGAGUGACUGUCGCAGGCUGCUCUAACAGUGGACGAGGAAAUGGAAUUUCUAACUCCAGAAUGGACUUCAAUUCUUCUCUGACCUUCUUGGGGAGAACAAAUUUUGAUUCCCAAUGGCCACCCUGUCUCAGUCGGUUCCCUAAAAACAGCUGACUUCUUCUGCAAAGUAAAGGGGAAUUGUUGUAUGCUGGUGUUAAAGCUAUUAAUUUCCCUAUGAUCUUUGCUAGGUCUCUCAAGGACCAACUCUGGUGCUUGAGAGAUGAGUUCAGAUGUACCAAUAAUUUGUCCCAUUUGUCUUGAGGGAUUCCAAGGGACAUAGUCCUGGUGUUCAGUAUGAAACCCAGAAAGAGGAUGCUUUGAGUGGGAAUUAGGACUGAUUUAUGUAGAUUUACUACGAAUCCUAGGUCUUGUAAAAGGGAAGCAAUCCCUUUGAGAAGCAAGGGCUUCCCCAUCUGGGUGCAUGAGCAGGAUGUCGUCUAGGUAGUAUAGACACAUGAAAACUUUUAGUCUGACAUGAGCUAUCACUGAUUUCAUAAUUCUGGAGAAUGUGUAUGGUGCGUUGGAGAGGCCAAACACCAUAACAGUCCACUGCCACACCUUUCCUUUCCACUGAAACCUGAGAAAACGCCUGUGUUUCUUGGCUAUGGGGACUGAACAGGGAUGAAGUGGAAGGUUUCUGAGCAUUGCCUUCUUUUUCUGCUUUAUCCAGCAUCAGUAAUAGUGGUCCCACAGCAUCAGCAAUUUUAAACUGUAUAUUGCGAAAAGUCUGGUCUGUGGGAUCAGAGGAUACGCUGCUCCCUGUGAUGGAUAACAGCGAAGGGUCUACCUCUGGGGCCAUUAGAGCCUGAAUGUCCGGGAUACCGAUGUGGUUCCUGAGGAGAAGGUCAUCUUCCUUAACCAAGGGGGAUCUGAAGGCUAGUUUAGCAAAAUCUCUAACCUCGGAAUCGUGCUCCAUAGCCCAUCUGGAGUGAAAUAAUUUUGAUGGGAGAGUCUUUCCUAGGAGACUUACUCUGGCCAUCUGAACAUUGCUUAGCUUCCCUCGCUCAGUGGAAGCUGCUGAACGAACCACUUCCUCGGAUUCCCAGUCUAUUUCUGGAGAGCCGUAUCUGGAACUGGGACGGCUUUGGGAAGAAGAGUGAGCGAACGCUCUAGAAGAGGAAGGAGAGGGACUAUCUAACCUCCAACGAGAUUUGCCCUUUUCCUCUGGGAGGUGUUUCUGGUGCUCAAACGAGGGAAACACGCUAUUCCUUUUUUGAGGUCCUGUCCCCUUAAAUUUUCGCUUACUCAAACGAGUAUGAGGGGAAGGAGGAGCGGAGAAGUUUUCCUCAGACGAGGAACUGGCGGAAGAGACCAGCCGUCUUCCUUUAUGCUUUUUAUUUAAAACUGGGACCAAAUCCUCCUCAGAUGAUGAAGAGGAUAGAUCCCUGGCAAGGAAAGCUCUCUUAUGGAGCUUUCUAACAUUGAUGGGGCUGCCUUUAAGAGAGGCAUCCACUAAAUCUGUGGCAGACACAGAAAUAGAGUCCUCCAUCAAUGAUGCCAUUUUAAAAAAUCUGAGGUAAUCAGGAUUCCCGCGCUCAGCACGGCUCUCCUGAUUACCUGAUUGGCUGAAAGGCUGUUGCUGUGCAGAUGCACAGCGCGAGCCUUUUCAGCUCUGGCAUUUGACUCCGGGAGGCUGCCGCAUACCCACUAGCUUUGCUAGGUGGUUAUGCCUCCCGGAGGACAAAUAUAGCUAGAUUGCAGUGCUGGCUAGGUUUAAUUUAUGCUCAUUUCCCAUAAACUGCUCCCUCGCCGUUACAGUGUCCUGCUUCACUGAUCUCCUUAUAAAGUACUUCCUGUACUAAGAGCACUGUUUAUUGGAGAGGCAUCAAAUUCAGAGUUUAAUUCGCUAAGUAGGGCGUUCUGGUGCGUUGAUAAUCAACUUACAGUAUUUAGAUCAAAAUAAUAAUGUGAAAAAUAUUUCCAAUUUGUUCAAGAAUUUGCUAUUUUAGCUUAAUUAUUCCAAAACGGUUCUUAACUUAACCAAAUGAGUUAACCAAUCAGUCUCUCUGCCUGAAGUAUAGAGCGAUAUUUGUAAUGUAGGAUACUUCAUUUAAACACAGCAGGAGAAGCUGGGUGGGACCAUCAGGGGAGCUAAGUUCUGAGGGACUAAGUUUUGAAUUGUAUUUUUUUGGAUACAAUAAUUUCUUGUCAAGGAGCUGAAAAGGUCUUGUACCGCAAUUCAUAGGGUUCGGAGGGAUUAUUUGCUAUUAUUGUUAUUAUUAUUGGCAUUUAUAUUGCAGCAACCUAUUCCGCAGAACUUUACAAUAUUAUAAAAGGGAAAUUUAACAAUAAAUUAGACAAACUAUUAAAAAAUUUGCCAGGAACAAUAGGAUGAUGAAGAUCCUGCUCAGACGAGCUUGUAAGAUCAAGAUGCAUAAAUAAAAAAAACCACCAGAAUCCUUGAUUUCUUUGUGUAUUGAAAUGUCAUAAUGUGUAUAUUAAUGUUUAACUGUCAUAAUUAAAAUUUUACAAUCACGACAGAUAAGGUGCCAAUAAAUUAUUAUUAUUAUUAAUAAUAAUAAUAACAGUAAUACAUUUAGAGAUAGUGGAAAGUGCAAUUCACAUACGGUACUUAAAGAUCAGAUUUAAGUAUUUAGGCAGAUAUAUGUGUGUUUCAGGAAAGUCAGUUUGCAGAACACUUAUUGAAAUAUAGUUAUUUCUCUAAAAAUGAUACUACAUUCCUUGUAACUUGUGUUUAUCGAACCUUCAGAAUGAUGCCUCAAAGCAUCACCAGAGGGAAUAGUUGAACAAUGAUUCCUCAGUGCCAUGUGGGCAGCAACGUGUUAAAGAGAAGACUUCAUUUAAUGAGAAGCGAUUGAAGAGACUCUAUUGUGUUAUAAAGCAGGUUCUAAUGUUUCAACAUACAGGGCUCUUAGAAAACGUGUUGCAGUACAAGGAGGACCCCUUGCUGUGAUCUUUAAUUGUUCCCUCACCCAGCUGUGAUAUUGCGUUUAAUUUCCAAGGAGAAAUUCAUCAACUCCAAUUACAAAUUAAAAAUCUUUAUUAAACAAUGUAAUUUUGCCUCCAGUUGUGAAUGAGAAAAUACAGAUACCCAUAAACAAGUAUGAUCAAAGGCAUCUGUUUUGGACUUUGUAUAUUGAUAAAUUUUGCAAUAAUGAUUUAGAUUUAUAAAAUCAUAAUUAGCUAGCCAAAUCUUGCACUAAGAAAAUGACUGUUAAAACACAAUGGAUUCUACUAACUAAACAGGAGUGUAGUCGGCUGAAUAGCUGAUUUGCACAUUUUCAAGAUAAAUAUUCAAGUGUCAAAAAGUGUUUGCAGUUAGCUGAGUUGAUGAAUUUGGAUAUUUCUUGGCCUAAAAUCUACACAACUGUUGUCAGCUGAACACGGCUGACUGUUUGGGAAACCUUCCUAUUUGAGAAUACUAUCUAAACAUAAACAGGAUUAUUCAUUAAAACGUGAAAAAUUGUCGAGAAUUCAAAGUAAAUUCAAAUGGAGUUUUUUUAAUUUUAAGCCGAAACGAAAAAAUUCUCCAAGUCAACUGUGUUUAAUGUUGAGCUGUUUUUGCAUACAAUUUGAAUUCUCAACAAGCUACACUUUGGUGCAAAACUGGUAAAAUUCUCUGUAUUAUUCCCUUAGGAGUUAGAACAUUUACCAUACUGAUAACAGACAAUCUGCACACUAGAAUCAUUACCUAAUCACAUAUUUAAACAUGAUUCAUAUUGAUCUAAGUGCAAUUUUCAGUAGAGAUCUUGCAAACUUCUUACAUCUAUCAAUUAAUUGGUUCACCUUUCAGUUAAGGUUAGAGUUAAACAUUAAAGUACCCUGUGGUGUUUAGAGUAUAUGAAAGAUGUUUUUUGUUGUUGUUGUUGUUGAGGAAAUGGAGUUGGAACUUCAAGUUUUGUUAAAAAAAAAAAAGUUAAAAAAAAUAUUUUGGUCAUUUGUGUCAUUUGUGACAGCUUCGAGGCAAAAAUUCAGAUAAAUGUAUUAAGAUUCUUUUCUUCUAAAUUGCAUAUAGCACCUACAAAUUGCUUUAAAUUAGAGGUAAAUUGAUGCUAUGUAUAAAGUAAGCAUAGUGGCCCUGAAUGCUCCCACAUUACCCUUAAUUAUAAAAAUCCCCUAUGCCAUCUUCACUACCAAGCAUUUUUUUAUUUGUAAAAAAUAAAGGCAUACAUUUUUAUUUUAAACAUGGAGUACAUAGCUAGCACUUAAACAUAUCAUAGAUUUAGAUUGCUGUUCACAAAAACAUACUUAUAUAAAUUACAUAAAUAUAUAAACUUUUAUUUUUCAUUUAUACAAGCAUCCUUUAUGGAAAUAUUGGGAAAUGAAAACCAUUCGACAGUAUAUCUAUCACUUAUCUUGCAAUAUUUCACACAGGGCUUGAACUAUUAGUAUAAAAAUAUAUAAUUAUUAUUGCAUUCCUAAUUACCCUGCUUGUAGGUAUUUAUAAGGGCCCUGAUGGCGUUACUAGCAGUACAACUUACUAAAAACAAACUGUAAAUAGAAUGUUGAUAGAUUGUAAAUAGAAUUCUGCAUUUGAACAGAAUGCCCUCAUAAAAAUAUUUAAAAGGUGUUGUAGUAAUCUGCUACAUUCUCUGUGAUGCUAAUAGAGAUUUGAGAGAUAUCAUUCAAUUCUCUUCCUUCUCUGACGGUAGGAAAGAUGAUCUGUUUAAAGCAUCCUUUACUGUUUGGAAGGAGGAGAGGGCUGUCAUUUUGUAGCCCAUUUGCAGGCCAUUUGAAGUCUACUAUACUAGACUUCUGCAGUAAUGCUUCUCAGAUGGUACGAACUAAUCCAAUUCCUUUUAAUCUACCCCCGAACGAAUUGAUCCUUUCAGAAAAGGACUUCACAGGUAAAUCCUGUUAGUUUGGGAGUCGAUCUGUACCAAUUGAAAAGCAUUAAUGAACAAAUCUAUACUCUACAACAGGGGUGCCCAAAAGGUAGAUCCCCAGAUACUGUAGAACUACAACUCCCAUGAUGCUUUGCACACAUUUAGAGUGCCUUUAGAAUGACAAAGCAUCAUGGAAGCUGUGGUUUCCAUGAUGCUGGGGAAUCUAUCUUUUGGGCAUCCCUGCUCUACAAGCUGGUAAUCAGUGUUGGUGUAUAUAUGAAGGUAAGUGAAGCUAUAUGAAUUCAAAAUUGUUGAAAGGUUAAGGUUAAAGAAAGUAUAUUUUGCUAGUGAGGGGGUUAAACUCGGGAGGGAGGCAGAAACCCUAUGGAAAUAAUUUUCUGCACCCUUACAGUAGUGUAUAGGUUAAUACAUUUCCCAUUCAACUGAUUGACACAUAUAUUAUGACUGGCUUCUACUGUUUUUUGUGAAUGCAAUGACUAUUAGACAUUUCACAUUUACAAUCUCAACAAUUGUUUAGAAUUUCUUAAACUUAGUUUGGUUUAUAUAUUUGCUUUUUCCUCAGUGUGGUUUGCAUCAUUAUCACUAUGUACCAUAAUAAAUUGGUUAAAUUUUAUGCACAUGAAAAAGUCAUUACAAUCUUUUAAAUGAAUAUCACAUUUAUUAACUUGGUACUUUUUUUAACAUUAACCCUUACAUUGCUGCCCAUGAACAGCAUCUGGUUCUUUCAGACAGUGCCCUCCUUGAUUAAUAGUGUGUACAGGGGAUAUUAAUUUAGUUUUGUCCAUUUAUUUACUUUUUUGUUUAUUUUGCCUGCAAAUUUCCACAUUUGUCUAUGAAUUCAAAGUUUGGUAUGUUAAUAAACACUGAAUUCCUAUGCAUCAUUUUCAAUUCUGACUUUAUGAUACUCAUUUUGAUGUAGAUUUGAAUCAAACCAAAUUUGUACAUUUAUGGCUAAUCUACAAAACUGAGCUACCUUUAGUGAAUAGCAAAAUUACAGUAAUUAUUAGUAAAUUAGUAAAGUUUCAGAACAUUUUGUAAUCUGUAGGAACAUUUAAAUCUUAGGGAAUAAUAUUUCUAUAUAAAAAGUACACACUUCUUUGCUCGAGACUCAAAUGGUUGAAACAUCUGUCUUUUGAUAGCCCUACGGAUCGAUAAGCUGCAGAUUCAACAAUUUGCUUUUUCCCAAAAAUUGUGUAUAUAAUAGUAGGGCAUAGCCAAGGGAACAAAUAAAAUGUGUUAAAAUAUAAACACAACAUGUUUUAAUAAUAAUAAUAAUAAUAACAACAAUAUUAAUAAUUUGCUCCCUUGCUGUGUUUAAAGUUGACCUUUUAAGCUGCUGAUUAAAAUCAGAUGAAAAGUUAAGGCAAAUAAAGCAAUGGAUUGUAGUGAAUUUUGUCGACCAACUCUUGCAUUUCAGGACAAACAAUUAAUAAUUUAUUAAACUCCGCUGUACUGAACAACAAGCCUUGUCAGCUCAUUACAACUUACUGUUCAGUGAAUACACCUCUCUGGUUAGAGAAGGGGGCAAGGAAAGAGAUAGGACACUUAUUGGCUUGUUUUGUGUAGUUUUCUCACUCAUUCACUGCAAAAAUAAUCUCAGUAAAAAACUCUUUGAGGAAUUUAAAAUGUUGAAAGUGUAUCUUUGUGUUUGAAGGCAUGUCUGUGUCUGAUCAUUAUGUAAUCAUAUAUUGUAUUGAGGGUGAAUCUGUACUUUCAGUGUACUGUGAGCAAAUCGUUUAUGUCUGUUUAAGGGGACAGACAUUUUUAAAAAAAUCUGUAAUGAGACUUAAUUUGGUGUCUGGAUGAAAAGUGUUUUAUGAGGUGUCUGUGAAAAAAGUAAGUUUGUUAGAUCUGUAUUAGUAGAGUCUGUCUUUUGUGUCUGGGAGAGGAAAAUUAAUAUUUUCUAGCAAAAGGCAACUGUUUUUUGUGCUAAGGCACUGCAUAUUGAAACACAAAUGUCAUGUAGUAUGUAGAGAGUAGCUGUGAGGAAAUUAUGUCUACUAUCAUGGCUUAAAAUUUCCACUCACCACAGUUCUCUGGUGAGCGAAAAUUCAGCCCUGACAAAUAGAAAUACACCUCUGGUUAGAGAUUCAUGGGCACUCCAAGUGUGUAGUGGAACUUUUAAGGCCUGACUAGUAGCAUAGAACUUAAAAAUAUAAGCUCUAUCUAUCUAUCUAUCUAUCUAUCUAUCCAAAUGGAUACAGAUGGUUUUAGAGUUGGAAGCAGGGAAUUCUGGGAAAUUUACCAGACUCCUGGUGAACAAUGCUGAGGGAGCCUGGCAGUGUCUUUACCCACCCACCCUCCCCAAUGUUUCUGUUAUGGAAUUGUUGUUUUGUGUUGUGUUUCUUUGUUUUUUUUUGUUUUUUUCACAGCUGCUGGUUUCCUGUGUCAGCAGGUUUGGUAAAUGAAUAAUGCCCGGACGGGCUUGGUGAGUCUCAGCCUGAAUUUGGUUGAUCAUGAAGGACAAGCUGAAGAGGCUCUGGAAAAAGUUUAAAGUGUAGCUGUCUGCUGGGUAAAACCAGCAGCUGACAGUAUUUGGUUGUGCUGGUUUAAAUAAAGCUGUGGCUGUUGCCCUUACCCACUUAACAUGGUGUUGUGUUACUUAUUGGGAAUGGAAGGGUAAUGGGAUUUGGUGAUCGAAGAAGUCAGCAAUCAAGUAGUUUCUGGGUGAGGCUGUUGUCACUGUGUGGAGAGAGUAAAUAAGUAGUUUCUCUAAAGAGAGAACAGCUGUAUUAUCUGUGUAAAGAGAACACAUUUGAAUAGUCUGAGAGCAGACAUCAACUGUGUUGUCAGUGUGAGAGAAGUAAAUAUGUCCCUCUUAAGCGUACACCUGCAGUGUUUGUGAAACAAGGGAGAUUUUAUGUAUGUUUGUAUUGUAAUAUGGAGGGUGAAUAUGUGUUGUUUCAGUGUGAAUUUUUAAUUACCUGGUCAAAUAUUGUUUUAUGCUUCAGAUGGAGCAACACUCCAUGCACCAAAACCACUACACUGCAAUACAGUGUUUAUUGUCCCAGAAGUGCCUUUGGCCCCAAUGCA